GAGGUUGUUGGGGCAGUAAUCCCUUAGGCUUGUUUUGGUGGUUGCUACUUAUUUUUUUGUGAGAGCUUUGGGUGAGAGGAGAGGGGAGAGAGGAGGGAUCUUUAUGUUGAUCUUUUUGCCAUCCUAGCUUGGAUUGUGCUUAGAAGUGGCUUGUAAUCGGACAUGGUGAAGUAAUCCAAGAAUAAAUUUCGUGCUCAAUUGCUUCUCCUUCUCAAGAUCUAAAAUUUAUCUUUUUUCCUAUUUUCGAAGCAUUUUUCGGUGAAUUUUUGGAUCUCACGAUUGGCAGCAUUUUGGGGUGUUUUUCUUGUGGAAAAUUGGUGCUAGGACAUGUGCGAGAACGUCUAGGAUGAUCUCCUAGCAAACCUAUG
rnacentral:lncRNA from 1 species